GACGAACGCUGGCGGCGUGGAUUAGGCAUGCAAGUCGAACGGUAGGAUACCUUCGGGUAUCUGAGAGUGGCGAACGGGUGAGUAACACGUAGGUGAUCUACCCUCAAGAUUGGGACAACCCAGGGAAACUUGGGCUAAUACCGGAUGAAAGCAGCAGUGAUGUUGUUUGAAAGGUGGCGUAAGCUGCCGUUUGGGGAUGAGCCUGCGCUCUAUUAGUUAGUUGGCGGGGUAAAGGCCCACCAAGGCGAUGAUAGAUAGGCGGCCUUAACGGGUGGUCGCCCACACUGGGAUUGAGAUACGGCCCAGACUCCUACGGGAGGCAGCAGUCGAGAAUAGUCUACAAUGGCCGAAAGGCUGAUAGUGCGACGCCGCGUGAACGAAGAAGCCCUUCGGGGUGUAAAGUUCUUUUAUAUGUGAGCAGUGCUUCUUAUAUUAACAGUAUGGGGAAGAGAUAUUAGCAUAUGAAUAAGCAAACGGCUAAACUCCGUGCCAGCAGCCGAC
rnacentral:rRNA from 1 species